UGGGCAGUGAUGACGCCAACAUGCCCUCUGAGUGCCCUCCUGGGAACCAGAGGCUGUUUCUGAGCUG